rnacentral:rRNA from 1 species
CAAUAGCGUAUAUUAAAGUUGUUGCGGUUAAAAAUGCUCGAUAGUUGGAUUUCUGCUGAGGACGACCGGUCCGCCCUCCGGGUGAGCAUCUGGUUCGGCCUUGGCAUCUUCUUGGUGAACGUAUCUGCACUUGACUGUGUGGUGCGGUACCCAGGACUUUUACUUUGAGGAAAUUAGAGUGUUUCAAGCAGGCAUACGCCUUGAAUACAUUAGCAUGGAAUAAUAAGAUAGGACCUCGGUUCUAUUUUGUUGGUUUCUAGAUCUGAGGUAAUGAUUAAUAGGGAUAGUUGGGGGCAUUGCGUAUUAAUACUGUCAGAGGUGAAAUUCUUGGAUUUGUUAAAAGACGGACUACUGCGAAAAGCAUUUUGCCAAGG